UUCAAGCAGGCAGAUCCAAUUUUCUGCCACCGCAAUACAUUAGCAUGGGAUAAUGGAAUAGGACCCUGUCCUCCUAUUUUCAGUUGGUUUUGGCAGCGCGUAGGACUAGGGUAAUGAUUAAUAGUGGAUAGUUGGGGGCAUUAAUAUUUAAUUGUCAGAGUGUGAAAUUCUUGGAUUUAUGAAAGAUUAACUUCUGCGAAAGCAUCUGCCAAGGAUGUUUUCAUUAAUCAAGAACGAAAGUUAGGGGAUCGAAGACGAUCAGAUACCGGCGUAGUCUUAACCAUAAACGAUGCCGACCAGCGAUUAGGAGACGUUGAAUACAAAACACCACCAUCGGCGCGGUCGUCCUUGGCGUCUCUGUCCCUUUCAACGGGGGCAUAGGCGCGAGGGCGGGUUAGCCCGGUGGCACCGGUGAAUGAUC
rnacentral:rRNA from 1 species